CGAAAAUGUAACGCUUCAGCUUCUUUCAAAAAGAGAACUAUCAUCCCUCAUCUCGUCCCAAAAUCACGGCAGAAACCUUCAUAUUCUUCCUCUCCGAUCAAGACGGCGCCGCUCACUCAAGUCGCCCCUCCGACGAAUUCUUCUGUGUAUCUCGUUCAAUCAGUCCAUAUCCUCCACCGUUGUUAUCCUCGCACCUUCUUCUCCUCCUUCAAUAGACGGCCGCUAACCUGCUCUCUUCCGAUGAUUCUCCGUCGCAUCGAUACCGUUUACUUUGCCGUCGAAGUCUUUUCUACCUCCGUCUCUUUUAACACUUCCUCCUCAACAUAA